GGAAUGUGAGCUCCUAAACACACAAAGCAACACGUUAUAUAAAAACGAUAACAAAACGGCAUCAACUUUACCUUUACCUUCAUCCCUCUACAGCACUCAUGGGUUGCAAUACAAGCAGAUAUUUGGUCUUCCUACUAAUGUGCACAUGUGGAUGAAUGCCACUCAGCCGUAAAGCGUGUUCACAGCAAAGUUUCUUUGCAGUUAAUGACAGCCAAAAACUCCAUAUAAGGUAAAGCUCCCAGAGAGCUGAAAGCACAAAAUGAGGACAAAACGGUGGAAGAAAAUGGGUUUCUCUGAGUCGCAUCACUUUCAAACAAGAAUCUACCAUGUCUUCUCUGCCUCAGAGAUAAAGGACAAGAGCUUGAGCUUUGAAGACUUUUGAAAUCCCUUGAGCACCUUGAGCACCUUCAGUGAUUCAACAAUCCUCAAAAUCAAAGCGCACUAUGCUUUCAGAAUUUUCGGUAAGGCUUGAUUUAUAGUCUAGUAUCAAAAACUCUCUAAAUAAAUGUUUAUAUGUUUAUUUCCUCUGACUGUGACACAUUAGUGAGUCUCCGUAAUGGAAAUUUAUACUCUAGAGCUCUUGUAAUACAUGUACGUUUUUCCCAACUAAUGAUAUUUUCAGAAAUAUCAAAUUUCUUGUAUAAAAGCUCCUAUGAACUAUUUCCGAAUUUGUUUGCAACCAGCUUGAUAAAUGAGGCCCAUUGUGUAAAUGUUUGGAUCCCAUUGUGUAAAUGUUUGGAUCUUGUAUCUGCUGCCAUCUCUGGGAGCAUCUUCAUUCAUUUAAAUAAUAUGAGGCAUGGUUUCAUGUCCAAUUAGGUACUUCUGUGUAGAAUAUUGCAAUUUUUUUUUUUUUUGGAUGUCAUCAUUUUUUUGUAAACAUUACAUGUAGACCAUUGGCAUGCAGGAUGAGACUAAACAUUACUGACCUUAAUGCCUGUUCCAUCUCCUUAAAGGUACCAUAUAGAAGAAUGCAAACACAAAGAGCAUUAACCACAGAGAUGCUGAAAAAGCAGUGUCCAGGUGAUUAACAGGGGCCCAUGACAGAAGGGUCGAAUCUGUUCACUUAGGGCACAGCCUCUACCAACAUCUAACUUUCAGCAUUAAAGAGUUAGUUUUGUAUCAAUAUGAGCAUAUGAGUAUGCUGUUAUACUGUAUAUGAGCAUAUGAGCAUGCUGUUAUACUGUAUAUAAGCAUAUGAGCGUGCUGUUAUACUGUAUAUGAGUAUAUGAGCGUGCUGUUAUACUGUAUAUGAGCAUAUGAGCAUGCUGUUAUACUGUAUAUGAGCAUGGCUGUGAUUACCUUCAGCUGAAUCAAUGUUUUAUUUACGUAGGUUCUUUUUUUUUAAUGAGCUCCAUAACAUUAUUAUUGUUAAUGUCACAAUACUGUUUUUGUCAAUAUUGUUUUUUUAUUAUAGUUAAUAACAUUAUUACUGCUUAUCUUUGUAUUAAAGAAAUGGAAAAACAACACAUUUUUCAUUGCUUCUAAUAUAUUUUUAAGCUAUAGCUAAUAAUGUCAUUUAACAACACUGUUAAAUUUAAGAUUAUCAAGCAAUUACAGUAUUAUCAUUAUUGUUGGUGUUAUAAUUAUUGCUAUUAUUCUUAAUUAGUUUAUCUUUGUGGUUGUUGAUCUUCUCACUCUUUGCUGUUAAUUUCUAAAUUAAAAACUUUGUGCCAUGUAUUGUUUUCCUAGUUAGAAGCAUGCACUGUAAAAUAAAUUAGUCCGUGUAACUCAUACAUCCAGACAGGGUGCAUUUACAGGAAAGAAAUUCAUCACUGCAUUGUAGUGUCUUAGUGAGACUGGCCAGAUUGGUUGGAACUGACACAAAAGCUAUUUCAAACCUUGCCUGGUCUUUUUCACCUGUCCAGUGAAUCUGUGCCUAUUGUAGCCCGAGAUUCCUGUUCUUGGCUGAUAGAAAUGGAAACACUUGUGGUCUUCUUGUUGUAGCCCAUCUGCCUCAAGAUUUGACAUGUUGUGCAUGAGGUGUUUUUCUACUCACUAUGGUUGUAAAGAGUGGUUAUUUCAGUUGUUUGUUUGUUUGUUUGU